UAAUAAUCUGGCAAGUUCUCAAACAAACAAUGAAAGUAAACAAUAAAGCUAAUUCGGACAACAUAGCAACCAACAUUCAAAAAUUUCAGUAGUCUUCCUAAAAUAACACAAGAAAUACUUAUGUUUAGGUGUUGAAUCAAACAUGGCUAAAUUUCAAAUUUCAAAAUGCCACAAUUCUGUUUGGCAUGGAAAGUAAAAGAUACAACUCCAGCUUCCAUACACCAUAAGGUAUCUAAAGCCUUCUACCCCUUCUACCACUCUUUCUACGGGUGCUAUCGGAAGGAAUGGGUGUGACAUCCUCUGCAAUAGCAAGAUAAAAAUGAAAUCAAUUAGAAAAUAACAUACAAUAAAAAUGUAGAAAUAACAAUCAUUGGCUAAAAUAAUACAAUGUAAUGCCAUCGGUUACAUGGAAACUGGUUAGAAUAAUUAAUUUCACCAAGAGGACGAUAAGGUCAAGGUUUUCUCAAAAAGGCAAACAUCAUAUUAAUAAUUGAAAAAAUUCAUAGCCUGGAAAUGUGAACAACCUUUCAUGGAUUAGACUGGAAUGGUGAUUACAGGAUUUAGCAGGGAAAGCAAUUAUAUAAUGCAAAAUUGUGAGUUCUUUUUAGACUGGACGAUAUUAUGCAAAUAUAAAAUACCUACAACCACCACCACCAGAAAAUCCAAAUGUCUUGGGACUAAGGAUAGACACUUCAUCUCUAUAUGGUUUGUACAUUAUGUUUUCUUUGAUUUAACAUUAUUUCCCUGUGCAACAUAUUUUCCUAGAUAUCCCUGAUUCUCUUUAACUAUAACCAUAUCUUACUCAGUUCAUCGACGGUCAACCUUAUUUACGGCAAUUCCAAAGUUAACAAUGCAGUACACAUUACAAAUAACUUGAAAUAAGAGCAUGACUCAAUUAAUCAACUUUACAGUUAUUCUAUAUCUAUACAAUACACACGCCAAAUAACUUGAAAUAAGUGUAUUCUCUCUUCUGGUAAAAUAGGGACUAUAUAGUUUUCUUUUUGAUAAUUGUAUUUAAUCUGAUGGUGUCUAGUAUGAUAUGAUCAAUCAUAAGUAACAUUCCCAACUUUCACAUCAUAAAUAUCAGAGAGCAAGUAAACCUUAAACUAUCUUAUGUGGGUUAACAAAAAAAUAGAAUUUCAGUAAAUGCAAAUACCUAUACGACCAACUUUCAUUCCAGAACGAGCAAGAGCACGAAGAGCAGCUUGAGCACCAGGGCCAGGUGUUUUAGUCUUGUUUCCACCAGUGGCACGGAGCUUAAUGUGAAGUGCAGUAAUACCAAGCUCCUGCUCCAAAAUAUUUUGAAUCAGUACAUAAAACUUGACAGCUCCCCAAAUAAAAAAUUAUACUACUUACUAAACAAAUGCCAUAACAAAACAAAAACAUUCAAACUGAAGCUCAGAAACAGCCAUUAAACGGUGUAAACACAGUUGAAUUUUCACCCAAAAAUGCUUUUUGGUUUGACAAAUUUUGAAAGUAAAUGGAAAGCACUAUAUAUCAAUGAGAAAUCUACCCACCUUGCAUCUAGUAGCAACAUCCUGUGCUGCAAGCAUAGCAGCGUAGGGAGAUGAUUCAUCUCUGUCAGCCUUAACUUUCAUCCCACCUAAAAUUUGGAAAAAAUAAAAAUAUGAGAACCACAUCCAGUAAAACACACAAUUCCAAACCAAACAAUAUCAACAGCAGCAUAAUCUUACCUAAGUGUUAAUCAAAUGAAUUCCAUCUAAACUAAUUUAUCAAAACACUCGUGAACAGUUUUUGUCAAAACGCUUAAAAACAUUAAGGGGUGUUUGUUUAAAGUAUAUGAUUUACACUCCUAGGAAAACUAGGGUAGGGAUGAGUAUACCCAUAUUUUUUACAAGAAUGAAAAAUAUUUAUUCCCGAGUAUAAAGGUUCUUGCGAAUGAAAUAACUUCCAACAUUCCCAUGAAGUUUUGCAUAUACUCUUUUUUUUUAAAAGAAAAUAACUUCCAAUUGUCAUAGGAACAUUCAAGAGUGUGCCUAUCACUUGUCUUAAUAUUCUCAUGUAUAGGAAAAAUUUGUGUCAGUUAAACAAACGCCCCAAAAAUAAAAAUCCCAACACAAACCAAGGUAGAGAAUAAUCAUGCUAAAAGUAUAACUAUACUAUAUAAUUGUUCUUGGUCUAAUACAAAUAAACAAAUUUAAGUUUUUCAAUAAAAAUAUCUUACAAAUGUAAUUUUUGAACAACAUUAAAACAUAUAGUAACUAAAUUUAAUAACUAACAACAUUAAAAAUAAUAUAUAAAGAAAAAACUCAUACAUACCAGUGAUACGGACAAGGGUUUCCCUGCCAGAUAAAUCAGUAACAUGCUGCAGCAAAAAUAAACAUUCAACUCAUGAAAAUCAAACUUCAAAAAAACAAUAAUUCAAACUAAAAAAAAUAAAAAAUAAACAGAUUCAGAUGCUAACAAUGAAGGUGUCGUUAAACGAAGCAAAAAUGCGAGCAACACCGAAAACAUGUUCACCAUCCUUAACAGCUGGACCCAAUGUUACUGUCUCUUCCUUUGGCUCCCUAACCUUUCUCUUCGACGACUAUCACAAAUAAAAAGAAAAAACAUCAUCAAUUAAAUCGAACCAGUGUUGGGUUGAAUCUAAGAGAGAAUUGAUGUACGUAUGAACAUACCAUGGUUGAAAAUGGGGUUCCGAGAUUUGAAGAAAUUAGGGUUUUGGAUACUGAUGCUGCUGCUGGAACCUUUU
rnacentral:lncRNA from 1 species